rnacentral:rRNA from 1 species
UACAGAGGUGCCAAGCGUUAGGCGGAAUCACUGGGCUUAAAGCGUGUGUAGGCGGAUGCCUAAGUACCUUGUGAAAUCCCACGGCUCAACCGUGGAACUGCUUGGUAUACUGGGUGUCUUGAGCCAUCUAGGGGCUACCGGAACAAAUGGUGGAGCGGUGAAAUGCGUAGAUAUCAUGUGGAACGCCAAUGGUGAAAACAGGUAGCUGGGGAUGUGCUGACGCUGAGACACGAAAGCCAGGGGAGCAAACGGG